AUGUCGACGACAUCCAAAGUCAAGAUGACCGCGACCAUUUCACCCAAGGCCAAGAAUACAUGGACGGCCACGGCAACCAAGAAGAUACCGACGACCAAGGCGACCAAUGGCAAGAAGACACAUACGACCAAGAGGAAGAAGAUGAUGCUUAGAAGGAAAUUGGACAAUACACCAAGGCCGGCGCCGAGCAAAAAGGAUCAAUGUUUUGGGCUCCAUGCGUACUUCCAUGAGCAUAGGAAGUUCCUGCCCUACAAGUUUGAGAGCAAGUGUGGCGACAUGUCAAUCGCAAAGAGGUGGGGGUUCAUCCAACAAGAAUGCAACAAGUUUUGUGCAACCCUUGAGAACAUCCAAGGCUGCCCCGUGAGUGGCAUAGGCAUCAAAGACAUGUUUAAGGAGCAAUAUGCCAUCCAAAAGAAGAAUGGAGAGCGGGCGGCGGUCGUUGAGCAUAGUGAAGGUGAGAGGCGGCCAAGGAGGAAGACCAACUCGAAGGUGGAUGACAAGCGUGAUGCGACCACAUUCGCCUUGCAAGAAAUUUUGAAGGGGUCUAUGACCCAAAAGAAAGCGAGGGAGAAGAGGAAGCAGCAAGAGAAGUGUCCCAAGAAGAAGGGUUUGAUUCGAGAAGAGACAAAAGGAGAUGCUCGAGCUAGAUGGAUGAACUAUGGCUGGGGCGCGAUCAUUUUGUAUACCGGCAAGAACUCUGGCCGAGAUGCAUGA
rnacentral:rRNA from 1 species